UAUGACCACAUCACAUUUAAACAUCAGUUCCUGUACGAUCACCAAAAUUAAGCAAUGUUGAGACUGGUCAGUACCUAGAUGGGUGACUGCCUGGGAAUACUAAGUGU